AACAAUGGAGAUGAGUAAGAAUAAUUAAAUGGUUUAAUUAUUUAUGGCAAGGAUUAAUUAAUAAGUUAAUUAAUCAAACGAAUAAAGUUCAUUAAAGACCUCGGGAUAGUUUUGGACCUUAAGGCCCAAUGGGCUUCGAACGUCAAGUCCAUUAACUUAAGUUGUAUGACAACUUAAUGAAUAAUGAUUCACAAAGGCCCAAUUAGGCCAAUAAUAUCCCAUGGCCGGCCAUUUGGUUUUGGAGUGGGUUUUGGACUUAUUUACAAGUUUGCCACUCCAAUGAAUUAAGGUAUAAAUAUGACUUUAUAGCCAAAAUUCAUUUAGGGUUUUCUUUUGCGGAAAAGGAUGAGAACACAAGCUCUCCUUUCUCUCUAAAGUGGCCGGCCUCCUUGGAGGGUGCAUCUAGCAAUCCUACUACUCCAAGGUCACUCAUUUCUUCUCCAAUCUAACCUUGGUGUGGAGACUUAGAGGUUCUCAAUUUUGGGAACUUGGAGAACCAUUUCAUCCAUCCAAAUCCAUAGAUUUAAGAUGCAAGGAAUGAAGGCCCUCUCUUUGGGUGAUU
rnacentral:lncRNA from 1 species